rnacentral:rRNA from 1 species
GACGAACGCUGGCGGCGUGCUUAACACAUGCAAGUCGAACGGAAAGGCCCUGCUUUUGUGGGGUGCUCGAGUGGCGAACGGGUGAGUAACACGUGAGUAACCUGCCCUUGACUUUGGGAUAACUUCAGGAAACUGGGGCUAAUACCGGAUAGGAGCUCCUGCUGCAUGGUGGGGGUUGGAAAGUUUCGGCGGUUGGGGAUGGACUCGCGGCUUAUCAGCUUGUUGGUGGGGUAGUGGCUUACCAAGGCUUUGACGGGUAGCCGGCCUGAGAGGGUGACCGGCCACAUUGGGACUGAGAUACGGCCCAGACUACUACGGGAGGCAGCAGUGGGGAAUAUUGCACAAUGGGCGGAAGCCUGAUGCAGCAACGCCGCGUGCGGGAUGACGGCCUUCGGGUUGUAAACCGCUUUCGCCUGUGACGAAGCGUGAGUGACGGUAAUGGGUAAAGAAACACCGGCUAACUACGU